GUGAAGGUGCUUGCAUGGAGAGAAGAUAAGGGGACAACUCAAUGCAAAUAGCUUUACAUAAGCAGAACAAAAUUAUACAUUUCAAAUGGUCUUUACCUCAGCUGACUGAAACAUUUUUACAAUAAAACUUGUGAUGGCCUUAUUCCAAGUGGUUUGGGAAAAAUGACACCAUUUUAAUUUAACACUGAAAUUUGAGUGAAUUGAGGCACUAGUCCAAUAAGGAAAGUUAAGUCAGCAAAUCUGCAGAAAACAUUUAAUUAGCUACUUAAAGACAGCAUAUUUUGUAUGGUGGUAGCAGUACAAGACAAUUUGGAAUGCUUUUUUCAUGUACUGAUACCACAUACUAGGUAAAAAUACAAAAAAGCAAUUCUGAUCUAAAACAUCACUGACUGCACAUGAGACUUUUUAACUUGUAUUUUGAACCUGAGAGUCAGACUGUAUUACAGAGGUAUUAUAGUGUGCUUGCACAUCAUUUGCAAAUCAUGACAAUCAGCUUGUCUCCACUGUCAACUGCUCAUGUUAGACAAUAAUAAGCCCCAAUAAUAAGCCUCUGUUGCAUCACAGACCUAUCAAUGCAGAAGAACUGUGCUUACAGUAGCAUUUGACAUCACUUGCUGUCUGAGUUCCUAGAAAAUUCAGUCCAGUUUUGCCUGUAGAGUUCUUACUGCUUCUGAAAAUGAAGAAGGAAUCAAGCCUGUUGCUCUGAGUGCAUGCUAAAUUUAUAAACUCUAAAAGUAAGGAAACCCUUUGUAGAAAUCAGGAUUUGAUAUGGAAAGUAACAUUAAUGCUCAAAUACGAAAUACAAGUUUUGAGUGCUUUCCACAAGAAAACCUUGUGAAAUUUAUGACUGAAUGAAAACCCAGGUAAUUUGUUUAGCUUUUAUUUAUCAGUGCAUCGAUGUUGCCCUUUCCUAACAUUAGUCUAUUAAAUAUUUAUAUUGGCGUAAAUAUUGCAUUAAAAGGGCAUUUCUCUGCUGUGUUUGAGUUCUCCAGAGAUCCCAGACACCAGAGGGAAGUAAUAAAGGGUCAAAACUUGUAGAGAAAAGCCUUGAGCUAUUCUUACCUGGAAAUUCAGAUGGGACCUCACCCCACCUCCAAAAAGCCCAACAAAAGGCCACAAAAUCCACCCAAACCCCCACAAAAUCAAAGUAUCCAGUCUGAUGUGGCUGUUUAAACAGCACUAAAAUCACUCCUUCUAGCAUGGCUUGUAUGUGGUAUUUCAGCUUCCAGGUUCUACAGAGAGCCAGUCUAGAAGACUCUGGCCAGGGAAGUGUAGGAAUUAUGUGAAGACUGAAAAGUCAGUAAGAGAAAUGGUGCUUUAAAAAAAAAAAAGUGUAAGAAAUUUGUUACCUAAUUGUAUGUAAAUAGAAUCAAAUUAUUUUAAGCAAGCCAUGCAUCAAGAAUGACAAAGCAAAGUACAAAAACCAUUGUUAACAUUAAGAAAUUAAAAGUUUUAUGUCAUUUUUUUCAAGUAAAUUCAAGAUAUGCAGAAAUACUGUAACCUUUAUAUCUGUAGCUGGCUUUCUUAAACAGAAAAAAGCAAACAAAUUGUCAUCAUAUGAUGUCUUAAAAAAACCAAUUUGUUGUUUUUUUUUGAAUAUUGGCUCAUGCACUCUGCCCAGAAGCAAAGAAUUUCCCUGAGACUGAAAGAAGGUCUGUUUUUAUGACAGAAAUGUAUGUUAGUGCCAAUAAAGUCUGUUAAUCUGAUUAAAAUGUGGUUUAGUUAGGCCAAAAAAGGUUUGCUCUCAACUGUACUUGGCAUGAAAGCUGAGAAGAAGUAAAAAGCAUGUUAAUGAAGACAUUUAAAAAUAUUCUUGCAAUGUAAACAGUUUUAAAAAGGAAAAAAUAAUUAUAACAUUGUGUAGCAAAUACCCAUUUCUUUAAUUGUAUAAAAUUGAUGCAUCUAUUAAUGGGAAUUGUUUUUACAAGGUUGUAUUUUCUAUAAUCAACCAAUCAUUCAAUUUUAUACCUCUAGUGUUUUCCUGUUGUUGUAUAUGUGCCAAGAAAUACUGGCUAUGUUUCUCAAAUGCGUGGUGUUGUGAUAGCUGUAUAUAAUUUCAGAAUUCUGUGUCAUGCUGGGUUCAGAAAAGCCAGGGCUUUUUGCCACUCCUAAACUAGGAGUUUAUGGAGGGUCUUUCAGGGAUUGGUACCCAUACCAGUCUUAAGUAGGUAUUGUCUGAUGCCUUGUCUGAUAAUCUAGACAGUGCCGUGACCCUAUGGGUUUUAGUAGGCCUUUAAAGAAGUUUAGCACAAAACAUUUCUGGAGAGAGGCCAAAUGCUUUUAAACCACCUUCUGAAAUUUAGAAAGUCAAGAUUUGUUACCAUUUUAUUUGUUGGCAUAUUUUACUUUUAAUGACAGGUUGCAUGAUAAUCUUAAAAAUAACACUUUAACCAGGAUUUUUGAUGCAUUUUCUCUCCAUCUUGGGACUACAUAACAUUAUCUCAUGUAGCUAUUAUAAUGUUCAGUGAUUUCUACCCUUUUCUCCAGUCAAAUCUCCUCCUGUUCCUCCCAAAAAAAGCCCUAAAGUAAAGUUUUGGAAACUUGUUUUUUUUUUUGUAGCUUGGAAUCUAAACAGCUUGUAUCACUCCUGUUGAUACUUCAGUACACGUGCCAUGUUGGUGCUGGUUUCCGGAAAAAAGAUGUUUUACUAAAAUUUGCUGUUCUUGUAAUGUUUAUUUUGAAUAACAGUUCAGCUGGAUGCUGGUGUGUAGAUCCCGUGGUGGGUUUGCAGCCUGCACGUACUUCUGGAUGUGUGAUUAAUGGCAGCAGGGCAACAACUAUAGGAGCUACAAAAGCUCUGCAGGGAUAGUUGCGCCUUGCAUCUAAAAUAAUUUCAUAACGCUUUAAAAUUUCAGUUUGAGAGUUGAGAAGUACUUCACCUGGCUGCAGGUAACUUGGAUGAGGUAUGGCAAUUGUCCUGUUUUUUAUGUUCUUCCACUUGGAUCCUGCAGUUGUUGGAGCUGCAGUAUUAGAGAUAUGAAAAGUAUUGUUGCUUAUAUUCUAUACCAUUAACCAAAUAUGGAGAUUCAAUUUUUUUGCUUAUUUUGCAGAUGGUAUCCUGUACAAUUUACUCACAAUUGUUCAGACUUUCAAUUCCUUGGCUGUUGAGCUUCUGCUCACUGAUGCAGAAAAAUGGAGACCAUUCCUCACUGUGGAACAUGCCUUAUAGAGAAGGAAGAAAACACUGAAGGGAGUUUUCCUCCCAGUGUAUUUAUCAACAGUCAGGGCACUGUGGAAAGACAUUGCAGAGAUUCCUCUCUUUGCCCAAAGAUGAUGAGGGUAUUGGUUAUAGGAUUCCUUACCAUCUUUUGUAUGCUCACAAACAGAAUUACUGGUGCUUUCCUGACUUCAUCUAUAUUUGCAUGAUCUGAUCACCAUCGUGCUUUUCUUGUGUCAUCAUGGCCAUAAUUUCUUUCUGCUUCAGCUUGAAGGAUCCGAUCAGAGCCUGCCCUUGUGGUAAAUAAAAAACUACAGACUGCGAAGAGCUGUUGUUGUUGCUUAAGCUUACUUAACAUCCCAGCUAGGCAGUACAAAUCACUUCUGGUGAUUGAUGUGAGGCAACAAAAAGAACUUCUCCCAAAAUUCCUCUAAGAGGGAUUCAGGUACUUUGGAUGGUCUCUUCUAGACUUCUUUUUCAUUCUUUUGAAUCUUCAUAAGGGCAAUGGAGUAUUCAUUGACAUUUCUCAUCUCAAAAUGCAGAAAGAUUUAGUUGUUUCAGCCUGGAAUACAUAUCUCUGUGUAGGAAUCAAUCAGACUAGGGUUUUUGAUAGCUAGACCACAAAAAUUACCAACCUUGUUUAUUCUUUACAGUUCAAGACAAGUCUGCUCAAGGGAAGAAUUAUGCAUGAAAGGAUAAAAAUAAGAGUUUUGCCUAGAUUGUGUAAAAGGAGAGAUAGCAUCACUUUGAUGUAAGAAAAAGAAUUUAAAAACAAAUCAUUCCUAACAGCUUAUUUCAGAUUGAUCUUUCAGAAAUUGUUUAGCUGUUUCCAUGAGAGCGUCAAUGGACAUAAUCCUCACAAUGUCUUUUAUUUUCCCCUUAAAUUUGAUGUUGGAUCUUUGUGCCUUCUGCUGAAGAAAAGACAUGGAUCAAAUAAGACCAAGUACUCCUCUCUCCUAUGGUCCUGAAGCUGCAAUAGAUGAUGUCGGACUGUGUGUUGAAAGUGAUCUGGAGUUUUUUUCCAUUGAAUAGAGUCUUUCAUGUGAAAGGCUGUUUCUUACAGAGGCCCUGGACAGAUUCCUAUUUGAAAGGAACUUGAAGUAAGCUGGGUCAUGCUGCUUCGUCUGAGCUGAUCUGCUCUGAUACCUUCUGUUGUUUUAAAUAUCUGGAUACAUUCUGUUGCUGGAAAAUAAUACUGACUUUGGAAGUCAGUAGUGUUUGUAGGCUUCAAUGCAUCACCUGAAAUGAAGUCUGUGGUACUGUGUAUGACAUUGUGGUUAUGAAUGAUAACUAGUAUUAGAGCAAUUUGCAAUGCCUUGAAUCUCAGGAACUUACCAAAUUAUCUGGUUAAAAAGAACCUUCUGUUCACAAGGAAGUCUUUAAGAGGAAAUAAUGCUUUCAACUGCUACUGUCCUUUUGUAGUAUUUUUCUUAGCCAGCAGGUACAGAGCAGUAGAAACUUGCAUUGAACUCAUUAUUUUUAUUGUAUUUUAUCUUCUUUCAUUUUUCUUCUGUCUUCUCUACUGGAAGAUGAGAGUAUAAACAUCAGCCUGGAGACAUCUCUUGGCCAAGUGCAUUUAUGUAUUUCUGUUGGUCACACUCUUUCUGGAUAGGAAGACCUCCUUUCACAAGAACAUACACGUGGUCUGAAGAGACAGAGCUUCGCUUUCUAAUCUUUGAAAGUUUGAAAUAAUGAGAAAGACAAUGUUUUGUCCAGUUGAAGGGCAUAGGAACAUGUCUUGAUCUUAACCUGAUGAAAAGCAAUGAAAUUACAAUAAAAAAGAGCCCUAUUUUUGUGAACCACUCCUUCUGUUUAGACUACAACCUCUUACUUUAGCUUGAGAUACUGUAACCAUAUUCAGGAACAAAGAAGCAGAGUAUCCUUCUGCAUUCCCCAGCAGCUUCUCUGAAAAGAACUUGCUGAUUUUUCUGUUUUAAUUACUUUAAAAUACCAGGGUAAUUACUUAAAAAUACAGGGCUUUAUCUGUCACUUGUUUAAAGAACAAAAAUGUUUCUUGUAUGCUACUCUAACUGCAAAAUUGCCGUGGUUUUAAUGACAAAGCUUCCCCCACCCCUCCCUAUUUUCUUGUAUUACGCACAAUGAAAAAAAAAGCAAGCUUUUUUUGAACAGAGGAAAGCUUGUAAUUGAAGAACAUAUUAGGUAUGUAAUCAUAUGAAGCUAUUUUGUUUAUUUUGUCUAGAAGAGAGGAUGAAGAAACACCACCAAUUGCCCCAAAAUGAAUUAAGCAAAAUUCUUCAAACAUAAUGAGUAAUGUACCUUCUUAGUUAACUGUUGGAUCAUGCUCUACCUGAUGUCUUGAGAGCAAAGAAGAGCCUCCUGGUAAAACUAUGAUGCCUCAUGUGCUUCAGCACAAUGACUGCCCCACAUGCAAAUGCCUUGCACUGCUGCUGUGCAGAAGGUACUGCAGUGGAUAAUAACUAGUAAAUGCAUUUGUGAGCAGCUAUCCCUGUAGCUGUUGGAAGUCCAGUGACUUCUGGUUCUGUUUUAUGUGGGCUCCAUGCUACUGACAGAAUUUCACAGGAGUCUUAACUGGCUUUCAGGCUUUAUGAAGAAGGAAAUUUCAGCUCUCUUACACAUUAUUUUUGUUUGUUGUUCAUGUAAUGACAGCUACUAGGGCUUUUGGAUUUUCAGGAAUAAAAAGAGGAGUAUUUUAGAAAUCCAGAAACAUGAUGUAGGAAUUUGAGUAGGUUCUUAGCUUCCAGAGCAAUCGUAAUCUGCUUAGGCUAAAUCAAAGGUUGUCACAAUAGCAUUGAACUGCGGCUAGUAUUCAAUCAGUCUGAUUUUGACAAAUAAAAUAGAAGACUUGAGAUUGGACUAAGUCCUUUGCAGAGGAGUUAGGAGUGGUGUUAGGAAUCCUUUGAGGGAAACGUUCAGGUAAGUAUGACCAUUUAUUCUUAAAAGAGAUUAUGGGGAGAUGUUCACUGCAUUGCAAUAGAUGCCAUUUUUAAUUCACUUGAGAAAAAGUGAACAGAAGAGAGAUUUGGAUUAUUUUUCCAAGAAAUGAGCACUUUAAUUCUCCCCUCCCCUCUACCUACAUCUACUUGUAGACUGAGAGAACUUUCUGGACCAAACAUCUUAUGAUUGAUCUCAUCUGUUGAUAGAUGUCUUAAUAGUCUUGAAAGUUCACAAUUCAACACUUUGGGGUUGGUUUUUUUUGGCAUCAGAGCAUGAAAAAACUGCAUGUCUAGUACUCAUCUCUUGUCAUCCUCCCCUAUUGCAGUGACUAUGUGUAUGUCUCUGUGUGGCAGAAAAUGAGGGAAUACAGAUCAUUAUUCAAGAAGUUACCAACUAGCACUUUUCCUUCCCCUCCAGUCUUUCUGCCUCCCUAUCCUGGAAGUAUGGAGUCCCUGCCUCAGCCUACGGCUUCAUUCUUUUUCCAGCUGCCCACAAAAGUAAAGAAACCAGUGUGAGAGUUUGAAGAAAGAAUCCACUCAGAGGACUGAGUCUCAAGCAAAAGCUCCAGGUUGCAGACUCAGAAAGAAACUUCCUUUGGGGAAGGAUCUGCUUCCAGGAUUUGCUCGUCUCUUUUUCCUUGGGCAAACAGUUCUUGAAGCAAACAACAGGGUUGCAGGACACCUUCUAACCUUUAUACUGCAUCACAAGCCUUCGGCAGAAGAUCUUAUGUUGAUGGAAGAUGACUGGGUUUGGAUCUUGGCCUUCCCUAAGCAGGAUCUCCUGGCAAAAAAUGGGAUUGGGAAAGAAAUGACUCCUUUUUCCAUCACACAGAACCACCCUAGAAAUGGAGGCCUAGGCAGAAAAUUGCUCCUAAUGCAUCGUUCUGUAGGAAAUGUAUUUAGCCUCCCACGGUCCUUUUGUUACAAUGUCAUAUAGAUAUCCUUUAUAAAAUCUAAACCUGGCAUCUUCCUAUCUGAAGAUCAAGUCAAUGAAUCCAACAUUAAGAUUUUACAGAUUUAAUAAUGUGGUCGGGUCUUGCUGUCCCUUGCAUAGGAGAUGCCACGUGAAUCUGUGAAAGAGGGUUCUGCUGUGGUUCAGACUGUUAUAUUUGUAACACCUUUUCUACUUACAUUAAAGUAAUUAGAAAUAAUAAAGGUUCUUGUGAAAAUGGUAUUUAGACUUCUACCUUGCCGGGUUUACUUAAAAAUAAAUUUGAGCCAAAAUGUCUUAAUGAGCAAUAUGGAAAAUACUGCAUCUUUUGAGGUUUCCUGUGGCUUUGUGUCACAAAAAAGUGUGUUGGAACUGUUGAGAGCUGUAAAAGUGGAAAUCUUAGAUUUUUCUUUAAGAGUGAGAAGUUGUUUGUUAGAAAGUAGAAAGCUUUUAAUUGUUUUCCCCUUAAGGGAUUCUGUAGUCAAACUUAAUUAAAUGUCUUGCAAGAUCUCAAAUAAAAACUUUUUUUUAGAGGUAGUGAGCAACACACACAUGCCUGUGUACUUGUGUUGUUCUCACUAUAGGAAAUUAGUUUUGAAGAAUGGGACCUACUUCUAAUGUUCAGAUUGGGAAAGGGGAAAGUUCUGUUCUGAAGCCAAGUGUGAGAAUAGGAGGCAGGAAGGUGUACCAGACCCCCUGGCAGUAGGUGAAGAGCGCUUUCAUUUUUCUGUUUUCUGCUUCUGGCAGUUGAAGUAAACUAGCCAGAUGCUUGUACUUGAAUCCAAUUAAUUUCUUAAAUCAGUUACCACAAAACAUUGUUUUUUAACUAAUGUCUAGAUCUUUAGUUAAAUUUGCCAUCUUAUUUAAAUUAUUUAAUAGCCUUAACAUAGACCUGAGGCUACUGCUUCAUGGCAAUUGUGACUUCUUACUAUUCUGGAAUGCAUUGCAGUCCUAGUACAUUCUAAAAAUAAUUGUUCAGAUGGUGCUGUUUAAGUACAUACUUAUGUAGUGAGCCAUUUUCACUGGACUUUCUGAAAUUGGCUUUCUGUUGGAUGGCUUUUUAAUAUCUUAUUUUGCUGUCAUUAUCAAACUUGUUUAUCUUGCUGCUUCUGUGGUUAUUGAGUAGAGUGCUGAAUUUAUAACCUGGUAUUUUUAGAGAACUGAUAAGUCACAUGCCUGUGUUAAACUAUGCAAGCACAGUAACGCUUGUUAACUUUGAAGUUUAAAAAGAAAUCUUUUUAAUGUAUCAAAUUCAAUCAUAUUAUAAUACGUGGAAAUAUGUGUGUGAUGAACUUAAAAAGGAGCAGUUGUUACAGGUAUAGACAUUAAUUGUGUACUGAACAGAAGUAAUCUAGACAUGAAUAGCUGAAGAUGUGUGGGUCUCAGAAAUUAAUUCUAACAUCUGUGACUAGAGUUCUGUGCCAGCAGUGCUUUUAGUUGAAAAUACCCAUUUUUCAAAUUUCUAGUCCAUUUAAGGUCUGAUAUCCUUUGUGCCUUAAUAGGUAUACUGACACUUGCCUCAGACAGAAUUUUUGGUCAUUUUGUUCUGUAGUAGGUAAAUUUAGGACUGUCAAAUACUUAUGAAACAGGCACUGAGAACUGUUUAUGUUACUGUCUCAGUUCCUAAAAUGGCUUAACUUCUCCCCAUCACAAUUAGGAAACAAAACCACUAAAACAAAAGCAAAAACCAAACUAAAAAGCCUGUUGUGAUUCUACCGUCAGUAUUUUGAUACUUGUCUAUCACCGUUGCGUUAGUCUGUUUCUGUCAUGCUCUGGGUUUUACAGCUGGAAUCUUGGGUUCUUGAUACCUCCUUAGAACAAUAACUCCUGCCUUUGUGUUAUUAAAUAAUAAAGUUAUCUGAAACAA